rnacentral:sRNA from 1 species
GUCCUGAUAGUAUCCUUCCCGGUAACUUUCGGAAGCCUCUGCAACCUGAAAAGGGUCCGCGACUAUAAAUAUAGGAUGCAAGUAGCCUGACGGCUGCAACAUAAUCGAAUUGCGGGGACGUCCUAAAGCCUAACGGUACCAACUCUCUGGGGAAACUCAAAGAGGGCUUGUGCUAAUCACACAGGGGGGUAAGAACCCGUAGGAUAUUACAAUGGAUAAUCCGCAGCGAAGCCCCUAAUGGCGCAAGCCCACGGGGAACGUCCACAGACUAAGUGGUUAUGGGUAGACAUGCUCUGCUUAAGAUAUAGUCGGUCACUGUGAGAAAUUACAGUGGAUAUACGUUCCGUAGGUGAACCUGCGGAAGGAUCAUUACAGAGUUCUUGCCCUCACGGGUAGAAUCUCCACCCUUGUAAAUAUAACUAUUUGUUGCUUUGGCGGGCCGUACGCCCAGCGUACCCGGGUCUCGGUCAGGUGCGCCCGCCAGAGGACCCAAAAUUCUGAAUUAUUAUGUCGUCUGAGUACUAUAAAAUAGUUAAAACUUUCAACAACGGAUCUCUUGGUUCUGGCAUCGAUGAAGAACGCAGCGAAAUGCGAUAAGUAAUGUGAAUUGCAGAAUUCAGUGAAUCAUCGAAUCUUUGAACGCACAUUGCGCCCCUUGGUAUUCCGGGGGGCAUGCCUGUUCGAGCGUCAUUAUAACCAAUCCAGCUUGGCUGGGUCCUUGGGCUUCGCCGUCUGGCGGGCCUUAAAGCUAGUGGCGGUGCUCUCAAGCUCUACGCGUAGUAAUUUAUCUCUCGCUAUAGGGUCUUGUGAGAUGCUUGCCAUCAACCCCCGAUUUUCUAGGUUGACCUCGGAUCAGG